ensembl:snoRNA SNORD31 Small nucleolar RNA SNORD31
CUGUACAUGAUGAUACAUACCGCCCCAGUCUGAUAAAUCAUGACUGAUUGGUAUCCUGAUUACUA